rnacentral:lncRNA from 1 species
GGAUGAGAAUAGGCGGAGUCUUUAACUGUACCGCCCGGUCCUGAAACCCCUGUGCACCCCUUCAGUACCAGGCAAGGGAACUUCACUUAACUGAGAUACCGCCCGUUUUCCCCUGCGUUUCUUAAAUUGCUAUGGUUGGACGCCUGCAGGUUAAAAGUGAGUUAGUCCCUGUGGAAAUCACCACUCACUCUCAACACCUCCUGGCUCAGCAGCUCCUUGCAUGAGGCUAGGCGCAUGGGAGUCUCAGCCUACUCUUGAUCAACAAAGUAGCUGAAUGCUCCCUCCUCUGGGGAUCUAGCGAGCUCUGCCUUCCCAUUGGCUCUGCGCCUCUCAGCCUCCCGGUUUGGAAGACCCUUCCCCUGGAACUAAGGAAAUCCCAGAGUCCCAGGGAGUGAUCAGCGGUGCUGUUUUCCUUAUCAUCCUCUUCUGCUUCAUCCCUUUCCCUUUCCUGAACUGCUUUGUGGAGGAGCAGUGUAAGGCAUUCCCCCACCAUGAAUUUGUGGCCCUGAUAGGUGCCCUCCUUGCUAUCUGCUGCAUGAUCUUCCUGGGUUUUGCUGAUGACGUACUCAAUCUGCGAUGGCGUCAUAAGCUGCUGCUCCCCACAGCUGCCUCACUACCUCUCCUCAUGGUCUACUUCACUAACUUUGGCAAUACAACCAUUGUGGUGCCGAAGCCCUUCCGCUGGAUUCUUGGCCUGCAUU